UGGGGAAUUUUGGUCAAUGGGCGCAAGCCUGAACCAGCCAUGCCGCGUGCAGGAUGAAGCAUCUAUGGUGUGUAAACUGCUUUUGUACGGGAAGAAACCACCCCUCGUGAGGGGUAUUGACGGUACCGUAAGAAUAAGGAUCGGCUAACUCCGUGCCAGCAGCCGCGGUAAUACGGAGGAUCCAAGCGUUAUCCGGAAUCAUUGGGUUUAAAGGGUCCGUAGGCGGGUCUGUAAGUCAGUGGUGAAAUCUCCCCGCUCAACGGGGAAACUGCCAUUGAUACUGCAGGUCUUGAAUUAUUGGGAAGUAACUAGAAUAUGUAGUGUAGCGGUGAAAUGCUUAGAGAUUACAUGGAAUACCGAUUGCGAAGGCAGCCUACUACGGGGUGAUUGACACUGAGGCACGAGAGCAUGGGGAGCAAACA
rnacentral:rRNA from 1 species